UUAAAGCUCGUAGUUGGAUUUCGGGUGUGAAUGACCGGUCCGUCUUUGAUGUGUACUGGUUGGUUGCGCCUUAUUGUCUAGGACGUGGUUCUGGCUUUCAUUAUCUGGGACACGGAGUCGGCAGCGUUACUUUGAGAAAAUUAGAGUGUUCAAAGCAGGCUAUCGCUCUGAAUACUACAGCAUGGAAUAACACGAUAGGACUCCGAGCCUAUUCUGUUGGUCUUCGGGACCGGAGUAAUGAUUAAGAGGGACAGUUGGGGGCAUUCGUAUUCCGAUGUCAGAGGUGAAAUUCUUGGAUUAUCGGAAGACGAACAUCUGCGAAAGCAUUUGCCAAGGAUGUUUUCAUUAAUCAAGAACGAAAGUUGGGGGCUCGAAGAAGAUCAGAUACCUUCCUAGUCUCAACCAUAAACGAUGCCGACUAGGGAUUGGCGGAUGUUUUUUUGAUGACUCCGUCAUCACCUUACUAGAAAUCAAAGUCUUUGGGUUCCGGGGGGAGUAUGGUCGCAAGGCUGAAACUUAAAGGAAUUGA
rnacentral:rRNA from 1 species